UACGUAGGGGGCAAGCGUUGUCCGGAUUUAUUGGGCGUAAAGCGCGUGUAGGCGGCCAGAUAGGUCUGCUGUGAAAACUCGAGGCUCAACCUCGAGCUGUCGGCGGAAACCAUCUGGCUAGAGUCCGGAAGAGGAGAGUGGAAUUCCUGGUGUAGCGGUGAAAUGCGCAGAUAUCAGGAAGAACACCUAUGGCGAAGGCAGCUCGCUGGGACGUGACUGACGCUGAGACGCGAAAGCGUGGGGAGCAAACAGG
rnacentral:rRNA from 1 species